CUGUUAACCCCAGUGAUUCUAAAUUAUGCUCAUGUGUCUGUAUGUCGGAGAAGGCAAUGGCACCCCACUCCAGUACUCUUGCCUGGAAAAUCCCAUGGACGGAGGGCCCGGUGGGCUGUAGUCAUGUCCGACUCUUUGAGACCCCAUGGACUGUAGCCGGCCAGGCUCCUCUGUCCAUGGAAUUCUCCAGGCAAGAAUAUUGGAGUGGAUUGCCAUUCCCUUCUCCAGGGGAUCUUCCUGACCCAGGAAUUGAACCCAGGUCUUCUGCUUUGCAGGCAGACUCUUUAUCAUCUGAGCCACCAAGGAAGCCCUGGUAUAUAAUAUAAAGCCCUGGUAUAUAAUAUAAUAUAUAUUAUAUCUAUUGUGCAUAAUUUAUGCAUGCAUUUAUUUAUACAUAUAUGUGUGUUAGUUGCACUUACAUAAUUAUGCUUAUAUUAUUAUAUAUAAAUAAUGCAGAAAGCUUCUGAGUAGCCAGUAAAUUAUUUAGUGAAGUAUUGCUCUCUGAGAGGUCUUAAAAUCAUAAUUUAACAAAAUAAAUAUGGAUUUGAAUAAUCUGUUAUCACUACACAAUUAGGUAUUGAUUGUCUUUAUUAUUAUUUCUUGCUAGGGUCCAUAAAGAAAACAUGAAUGCUCUUAUCUUAUCUAUGAUUAUCUUGAACCUUACUACAUUCUUCUUGUCAAGUGAGAGUCUUAAAACUUAUGACCAGUCAAAACAAAAGCUAUCAAGGCUUAAUUCACCUGCCCAAACAGGAAAAACAAAACCCCCUCAUGUACAAGCUGCAUUAAAACAAGCUGAAGCCCAGACAUUAAAGCAGCCAUCAAACCAUAUUUCACUUACUGGAAUUCGACCAAGAGCAUCUCCAUCUGUUUUAUCAAACUCAUCUCUGGCAUCUGCAUUUUUAAAAUCUCUGACUUCCCAGUCUACAUCCAAGCACUCGUUACCUUUCCAAGAUACACUAAAGAAGUCUACCUCUACCAAAAAGCAAUUUCUAACUAACAACACUGUACUAAAACAGCCUCAGUCAAAAUCAACUUCAGAAAAACAGAAUUUAAUCCACAAGUCUACACUCAAACUGACCUUAGGAGACAAGUCUAAGUCCAAACAGUCAUCUUUCACCGAGACUGGUAUAAAAAGAAAGGAAAUUGAUAAGCCUAAACCAAAACAGUCAAAAGUUACCAAGUCUACACCCAAACAGACAUCACCUUCACCCAAUACAGGGAAAAGGCCUUCAGUUGCCAAUGCUACACAGAAAUCAACUAUAAAGACAACAAAACGAAAGACUCCCACUGCCAAACCUGUACUUAGACAGACGUCAGCUUCCCAAGGUGAAAUAAGGAACCAUCAUGUUCCUAAGUCUAAAAGAGCAAACUCUAAAGUUCCUGAGAGUAACACGAGGUGAGUUGCUUCUAAGCGGACUCCACCAAACAACUUAACAGGCUCCAGGUCUACUAGAAGAAGAAUUACUAAGUCCACUGACAAAAAGUCUCAAAGAUGCAAUUAUGAUGGAAGCCAGAAUCUACCUUCCAAAAACAAACGAAGGAAGACGAGACCUUUGCAUUCUGUUGAACUGUCUUCAGGGUAUCCAGCAUUACCACUUACACGUAAGCAUCGUGUGUAAAAACCUCAUCCACCACCAUUUUGUCCAAUAAAAUCUCAUUCCUCUCAUCUUCA
ensembl:lncRNA